GACGAACGCUGGCGGCGUGCUUAACACAUGCAAGUCGAACGGAAAGGCCCUGCUUGCAGGGUCUUCGAGUGGCGAACGGGUGAGUCACACGUGGGUGAUCUGCCCUGCACUUCGGGAGAAGCCUGGGAAACUGGGUCUAAUACCGGAUAGGAGCCAUUUUUCGUGUGAUGGUUGGCAAGUUUUUUCGGUGUAGGAUGAGCUCGGGGCCUAUCAGCUUGUUGGUGGGGUAAUGGCCUACCAAGGCGGCGGCGGGGAGCCGGCCCGGGAGGGUGGACGGCAACAGUGACACUGGGACUGGGCCCCGGCCCCGACUGGUGCGAGCGGUGGGGAAUAGUGAAAAAGGAGCGCAGGCCUGAUGCAGAGACGCCGCGGGGGGGAUGGCGGUGUUGGGGUUGGAGAUGCCAUGCGCUAUGAACGAGGCUGUUAGUGACGGUACCGAGAGAAUAAGCACCGGCUAACUACGUG
rnacentral:rRNA from 1 species